UUAUCAAGCAUUGCCGGCUGCUAACUGUCAGCCGGAGAAAUGGGCCUGUUAGGGAGGAGGAACAGCUCCCAGGGCAAGAUAGGACAGCCCAUGCCUUAUCAGAGUGCCUGAGCCAAAGAGGGAACUGGAGAGUGAGCACUUUCCAACCACUUCAUCUGAACAACAGACAGAUUGGCAGGAAAGGCCUGUCAGCCCUUCGCUUCUGCCACCCAGGCAUCAGCAGGGAGCCCCCAUCCAUGCAAAUAACCCUGGGAGGGAUACAACAAUCCCCAGGUGUCUGGUGAGAACCUGAUUGGCCUCAGCAGGGCCCGUCGCCCACACAACGCUAUCUUUGUGAACUUUGAUGAUGAAGAAAUCCCAACUAAACCCCUGGAUGCUGCUGUACAGACCUGGAAGAAAGUGUGCACCAAUCCUGUGGAUAAAAAGGUGGAGGAAGAGCUGAGAAAGCUCUUUGAAGUCCGUCCUGUCUGGUCUCGGAAUGCAGUAAAAGCCAAUAUCAGUGUCCACCCGGACAAGCUGAAACUUCUGUUGCCGUAUUUGGCCUAUUACAUGGU